rnacentral:rRNA from 1 species
GACGAGGACGUCCGGUCUGGCUUCUGGCCAGCACUGGACGGGCCGAGUCUUACUUCUAGGGAAGCACGGUGCCCUUCACCGGGUGCCGUGGGGAACUAGGACGAUUACCUUGAGAAAAAUAGAGUGUUUAAGGCAAGCCAAUGCUUGAAUACGUUAGCAUGGAAUAAUAGAAUAGGACCUUGGUUCUAUUUUGUUGGUUUUGAGGACCACUGUC